UUCGGGGUACUCGAGUGGCGAACGGGUGAGUAACACGUGGUGAUCUGCCCUGCACUUUGGGAUAAGCCUGGGAAACUGGGUCUAAUACCGCAAUAGGACUACGGCCUGCAUGGGUUGUGGUGGAAAGCUUUUGCGGUGUGGGAUGGGCCCGCGGCCUAUCAGCUUGUUGGUGAGGUUACGGCUCACCAAGGCGACGACGGGUAGCCGGCCUGAGAGGGUGACCGGCCACACUGGGACUGAAUACGGCCCAACUCCUACGGGAGGCAGCACGUGGGGAAUAUUGCACAUGGGCGCAAGCCUGAUGCAGCGACGCCGCGUGAGGGAUGACGGCCUUUCGGGUUGUAAACCUCUUUCGCCAGGGACGAAGCGCAAGUGACGGUACCUGGAGAAGAAGGACCGGCCAACUACGUGCCAGCAGCCGCGGUAAUCGUAGGGUCCGAGCGUUGUCCGGAAUUACUGGGCGUAAAGAGCUCGUAGGUGGUUUGUCGCGUUGUUCGUGAAAACUCACAGCUUAACUGUGGGCGUGCGGGCGGAUACGGGCAGACUGGAGUACUGCAGGGGAGACUGGAAUUCCUGGUGUAGCGGUGGAAUGCGCAGAUAUCAGAGGAACACCGGUGGCGAAGGCGGGUCUCUGGGCAGUAACUGACGCUGAGGGCGAAAGCGUGGGGAGCGAACAGGAUUAGAUACCCUGGUAGUCCACGCCGUAAACGGUGGGUACUAGGUUGUGGGUUUCCUUCCUUGGGAUCCUGCCGUAGCUAACGCAUUAAGUACCCCGCCAUGGGGAGUACGGCCGCAAGGCUAAAACUCAAAGAAAUUGACGGGGGCCCGCACAAGCGGCGGAGCAUGUGGAUUAAUUCGAUGCAACGCGAGAACCUUACCUGGGUUUGACAUGCACAGGACGUGCCUAGAGAUAGGUAUUCCCUUGUG
rnacentral:rRNA from 1 species